GCAUAUCAAUAAGCGGAGGAAAAGAAACCAACAGGGAUUGCCUCAGUAACGGCGAGUGAAGCGGCAACAGCUCAAAUUUGAAAUCUGGCUCCUUCGGGGCCCGAGUUGUAAUUUGCAGAGGAUGCUUCGGGUACGGGUUCCUUCCGAGUUCCCUGGAACGGGACGCCAUAGAGGGUGAGAGCCCCGUCUGGUAGGACACCCAGCCCGUGUGAAGCUCCCUCGACGAGUCGAGUAGUUUGGGAAUGCUGCUCUAACGGGAGGUAUACUCCUUCCAAGGCUAAAUACCGGCUGGAGACCGAUAGCGCACAAGUAGAGUGAUCGAAAGAUGAAAAGCACUUUGAAAAGAGAGUCAAAUAGCACGUGAAAUUGUUGAAAGGGAAGCGCUCGCUACCAGACAUGGGUUCGGCGGUUCAACCGGGGCCACGCCCCGGGGCACUCCGCCGGCCCAGGCCAGCAUCAGCUUUCCGUCGGGGGCAAAGGCGUCGGGAAUGUGGCUCUCCUUCGGGGGAGUGUUAUAGCCCGGCGUGUCAUACCCUUCGGGGGGCUGAGGUACGCGCUUCUGCAAGGAUGCUGGCGUAAUGGUAGCUAGUGACCCGUCUUGAAACACGGACCAAGGAGUCAACCUUAUGUGCGAGUGCCCGGGCGUAAAACCCCAGCGCGGAAUGAAAGUGAACGUAGGUGAGAGCUUCGGCGCAUCACCGACCGAUCCUGAUGUCCUCGGACGGAUUUGAGUGAGAGCAUAUAGGGUUGGACCCGAAAGAAGAUGAACUAUGCGUGUGUAGGGUGAAGCCAGAGGAAACUCUGGUGGAGGCUCGCAGCGGUUCUGACGUGCAAAUCGAUCGUCAAACAUGCGCAUGGGGGCGAAAGACUAAUCGAAUCUUCUGGUAGCUGGUUUCCGCCGA
rnacentral:rRNA from 1 species